rnacentral:rRNA from 1 species
AAUGAACGCUGGCGGCGUGCCUAACACAUGCAAGUCGGAUGUGCCCGCAAGGGUGCAUGGCAGACGGGUGAGUAACGCGUGGGGAACCUACCUCUUUGUGGGGAAUAACGUUCCGAAAGGAAUGGUAAUACCGCAUGAGACCUUCGGCUGGGAUGCUAGAGGUGAAACCCGGGGACCGUAAGGCCUGGGGCGAGGAGAGGGUCCUGCGUCUGAUUAGCUAGUUGGCGGGGUAAUGGCCCACCAAGGCGACGAUCAGUAGCCGGCCUGAGAGGGUGAUCGGCCACACUGGAACUGAGACACGGUCCAGACUCCUACGGGAGGCAGCAGUGGGGAAUUUUGCGCAAUGGACGAAAGUCUGACGCAGCAACGCCGCGUGGGUGAUGAAGGUCUUCGGAUUGUAAAACCCUGUCGUCAGGGACGAAGGUUGGGGCUUUAAUAGAGUUUCAACUUGACGGUACCUGGAGAGGAAGCCCCGGCUAACUCUGUGCCAGCAGCCGCGGUAAAAC